UACGAAGGGGGCUAGCGUUGCUCGGAAUUACUGGGCGUAAAGCGCGUGUAGGCGGCUUGGCAAGUCGGGUGUGAAAGCCCCGGGCUCAACCUGGGAAGUGCACUCGAAACUGCUUGGCUUGAGUACUGGAGAGGGAAGCGGAAUUCUCGGUGUAGAGGUGAAAUUCGUAGAUAUCGAGAGGAACACCGGUGGCGAAGGCGGCUUCCUGGACAGUGACUGACGCUGAGACGCGAAAGCGUGGGGAGCAAACAGG
rnacentral:rRNA from 1 species